UUCUCUCCACGGACGGCGUUGUUUCCUUCGGCCGAGGGAGAGGCGCACGGACGGUAUGGUCGAAGGCGGGGGGACGCAAGGACUCUCGGAAGCAUAAGUACGAUGCUGGUGCUCUCCCUCGGCUCAUUCGCCAUUCUAGUUUUUGCAGGGAAGGUCGAGGGCGAGGCAGCGCGAACAGGGCCUGUGUGGCGACGCUGAUUUCUGGUGCCGAUGUGGUUACGAAAGGGGUGACGGUGAGGUGUGAGGCACCGACACGAGGUGCCAUGUCCGGGUGUUGUUAGAGGCGAGGUUGUUGUAGAUGCGGCGUUGGUACGAGGACAAUGUUGAGGCGGUGGAGGAGCAAUGAUCGCUAGAGGUGUGCG
rnacentral:lncRNA from 1 species